rnacentral:rRNA from 1 species
AUUGAACGCUGGCGGCAUGCCUUACACAUGCAAGUCGAACGGCAGCACGGGUGCUUGCACCUGGUGGCGAGUGGCGAACGGGUGAGUAAUACAUCGGAACAUGUCCUGUAGUGGGGGAUAGCCCGGCGAAAGCCGGAUUAAUACCGCAUACGAUCUACGGAUGAAAGCGGGGGACCUUCGGGCCUCGCGCUAUAGGGUUGGCCGAUGGCUGAUUAGCUAGUUGGUGGGGUAAAGGCCUACCAAGGCGACGAUCAGUAGCUGGUCUGAGAGGACGACCAGCCACACGGGGACUGAGCCACGGCCCAGACUCCUACGGGAGGCAGCAGUGGGGAAUUUUGGACAAUGGGCGAAAGCCUGAUCCAGCAAUGCCGCGUGUGUGAAGAAGGCCUUCGGGUUGUAAAGCACUUUUGUCCGGAAAGAAAUCCUUGGCCCUAAUACGGUCGGGGGAUGACGGUACCGGAAGAAUAAGCACCGGCUAACUACGUG